GAUCACCAGCGAGGGCUUCGUGCUUCGUCUUGCUUUGAACCCUUCCUGAACGCAGAGGCGGGGGCUAAGCAGGGGCGUUUAAGUUGCAAGGCACCCGCCAAGCAGGAGAAGGGUGGUGACUCUGCUUGGCAUGCAGAAGGCCGCAGGUUCAAUCCCCCAUGGUAUCUCCACAUAUGACUGGGAGAGGCUCCUGUCUGAAACCCUGUGAGCCAGGGUAGGUGUUACCAAGCUAGGAUUAAAAUUCUAACUCGGCAUAAGACUGCUUCCUGGGUCGUUUUACCUCCACAACAACCCCGUGAUGGAUUUUCUUAUGCUGUGGAUACUCUGGAAAGGAGAAGGUAUGAGGAAAUCUGGAUUGUGGAGAGUGUGGGAAGGCAGUGAUUUGGAGGAGAUUGCCAUGUGAACAACAGAAUUAAUGGAAGCAAAAGAAGCUUGCUAUCCACAACAUGGAUGAGUCCCAUUUCAUACCGAAUCAGACCAUUGAACCUUUAACUUCACUGUUUAUACUGACUGGAAGCAGGGUCCAAGAGAGGAGUCUUUUGUAGCCCUACCUGGAAAUGCCAGGGAUUGAAUUUGGGACCUUUAUCCCCCCCCCCCAGACUAACAUUUGCUGUGCCCAGUGCUAUUUUUCUAGAAAGAGAGGUGCCAGAACUCACCAUGAAAGCCUCCUUUGUUUUCUUAUAAUGGCAGUGGCACCCACCUGAGAGGUGCUGGAACUCAGUUCUGGUGAGUUCCUGCUGAAAAAGGCCUUGACUGUGUCUACUCAGUUGUGGCCCCCUUCCCCUGGCAUACUCACAUUUAGGAUGGGUCAUCUCCCUGCCACAGUGGAGGAAGAAGAUUAGGCCCUGUCAGUCUUCGCGGAUGCAUUGAAUACUCUGCAACCAGUUCAUAAAGAGCUUUACAAGCAAGC